rnacentral:rRNA from 1 species
AGUGAACGCUGGCGGUAGGCCUAACACAUGCAAGUCGAACGGCAGCACAGUAAGAGCUUGCUCUUACGGGUGGCGAGUGGCGGACGGGUGAGGAAUACAUCGGAAUCUACUUUUUCGUGGGGGAUAACGUAGGGAAACUUACGCUAAUACCGCAUACGACCUACGGGUGAAAGCAGGGGAUCUUCGGACCUUGCGCGAUUGAAUGAGCCGAUGUCGGAUUAGCUAGUUGGCGGGGUAAAGGCCCACCAAGGCGACGAUCCGUAGCUGGUCUGAGAGGAUGAUCAGCCGCACUGGAACUGAGACACGGUCCAGACUCCUACGGGAGGCAGCAGUGGGGAAUAUUGGACAAUGGGCGCAAGCCUGAUCCAGCCAUACCGCGUGGGUGAAGAAGGCCUUCGGGUUGUAAAGCCCUUUUGUUGGGAAGGAAAAGCAGCAGGUUAAUACCCCGCUGUUCUGACGGUACCCAAAGAAUAAGCACCGGCUAACUUCGU